rnacentral:rRNA from 1 species
GACGAACGCUGGCGGCGUGCUUAACACAUGCAAGUCGAACGGAAAGGCCCUGCUUUUGUGGGGUGCUCGAGUGGCGAACGGGUGAGUAACACGUGAGUAACCUGCCCUUGACUUUGGGAUAACUUCAGGAAACUGGGGCUAAUACCGGAUAGGAGCUCCUGCUGCAUGGUGGGGGUUGGAAAGUUUCGGCGGUUGGGGAUGGACUCGCGGCUUAUCAGCUUGUUGGUGGGGUAGUGGCUUACCAAGGCUUUGACGGGUAGCCGGCCUGAGAGGGUGACCGGCCACAUUGGGACUGAGAUACGGCCCAGACUCCUACGGGAGGCAGCAGUGGGGAAUAUUGCACAAUGGGCGGAAGCCUGAUGCAGCAAAGCCGCGUGCGGGAUGACGUCCUUCGGGUUGUAAACCGCUUUCGCCUGUGAUGAAGCGUGAGUGACGGUAAUGGGUAAAGAAGCACCGGCUAACUACGUG